rnacentral:rRNA from 1 species
AGAGAGAGACAUGCGCGCAUAUCAAUAAGCGGAGGAAAAGAAACUAACAAGGAUUCCCCUAGUAACGGCGAGUGAAGCGGGAAGAGCUCAAAUUUGAAAUCUUAAAGGGUUUCCCUUGACGAAUUGUAGUUUAAAGAAGUGUUUUCUGUUGAAGGUUUUGGUAAAAGUUCUUUGGAAUAGGACAUCAUAGAGGGUGAGAAUCCCGUAUUUGACCUUUACUCUCAACUUUGUGAUACACUUUCAAAGAGUCGGAUUGUUUGGGAAUGCAGUCCAAAAUGGGUGGUAAAUUUCAUCUAAAGCUAAAUAUUGGCGAGAGACCGAUAGCGAACAAGUACUGUGAGGGAAAGAUGAAAAGAACUUUGAAAAGAGAGUUAAACAGUACGUGAAAUUGUCAAAAGGGAAGCGUUUGACACCAGUGUUGUUUUUCUGAAAAUCAAUUAAAGAACUGUUUAUGCUAAGUUGUUUAGACUUUAUCAGCUAACUGUUUAGUUUUGAGCUUUUCUUUAAUGCACUUUUCAGUUAACAAGUCAACAUCAAUUUCUUUUGCUGUAAAAAAGCUUGAGGAAGGUGGCUUGAGAUUCGUCUUAAGUGUUUAUAGCCUCUUGCCUAUGCAGUCGGAGAGAUUGAGGUCUGCAGCGUAGAUCCUUCGGGGCUAAAUGCAUUUGUGCUAAGUUAUAGCAUUUUAUAGACAACUUGUUGACUAUGAUUUGUCUUGUAGCUUACUCGCUUAUGUUAUUUUACCUACGCUUAGGAUGUUGAGCGCAUGUCUCUCUCU